GUGGGGAAUAUUGGACAAUGGGGGAAACCCUGAUCCAGCGACGCCGCGUGAGUGAAGAAGUAUUUCGGUAUGUAAAGCUCUAUCAGCAGGGAAGAUGAUGACGGUACCUGACUAAGAAGCACCGGCUAAAUACGUGCCAGCAGCCGCGGUAAUACGUAUGGUGCAAGCGUUAUCCGGAUUUACUGGGUGUAAAGGGAGCGUAGGCGGCUAUGCAAGUCAGAUGUGAAAGCCCGGGGCUCAACCCCGGGACUGCAUUUGAAACUGCGUAGCUUGAGUGCAGGAGAGGCAGGCGGAAUUCCUAGUGUAGCGGUGAAAUGCGUAGAUAUUAGGAAGAACACCGGUGGCGAAGGCGGCCUGCUGGACUGAGACUGACGCUGAGGCUCGAAAGCGUGGGGAGCAAACAGG
rnacentral:rRNA from 1 species